GACUCUCGACAAUGGAUAUUUCGACUCUCACAUCAAUGAAGAACGUAGCAAAAUGUGAUACUUGGUGUGAAUUGAAGAAUCUCGUGAACCAUCGAGUCUUUGACUGCAAGUUGCACUCGAAGCAAUUAGGUCGAGGGCACGUCUGCGUAGGUGAUA
rnacentral:rRNA from 2 species